GAUGAACGCUGGCGGCGUGCCUAAUACAUGCAAGUCGAGCGAACAGACGAGGAGCUUGCUCCUCUGACGUUAGCGGCGGACGGGUGAGUAACACGUGGAUAACCUACCUAUAAGACUGGGAUAACUUCGGGAAACCGGAGCUAAUACCGGAUAAUAUAUUGAACCGCAUGGUUCAAUAGUGAAAGACGGUUUUGCUGUCACUUAUAGAUGGAUCCGCGCCGCAUUAGCUAGUUGGUAAGGUAACGGCUUACCAAGGCAACGAUGCGUAGCCGACCUGAGAGGAUGAUCGGCCACACUGGAACUGAGACACGGUCCAGACUCCUACGGGAGGCAGCAGUAGGGAAUCUUCCACAAUGGGCGAAAGCCUGACGGAGCAACGCCGCGUGAGUGAUGAAGGUCUUCGGAUCGUAAAACUCUGUUAUUAGGGAAGAACAAAUGUGUAAGAAAAUAUGCACGUCUUGACGGUACCUAAACAGAAAGCCACGGCUAACUACGUG
rnacentral:rRNA from 1 species